rnacentral:sRNA from 1 species
GGUGAACCAGAAGAGUUUCAGGAAGAUUCCUUUCCACCUAGCGUCAUACAGUUGUGCAUGAAAAGUGUGAGAAGUGGUAUACGUAUUAUUUUUUAGAAAUUUAUUAACGUGUUAGUGUCCCAAGUGCCACAGCUUGGUUUACACGAUCGCAAAACUCGUGUUUGGUUGGCGCUGCCGCAGUUUACACGGGACUUAGCGUUGUCGUUGCUGGCGCAAAAGGUUGUGCAGCAACCAGUGAUUUGGAUCAGUGGAAAAUCCAAUAGGAAACUCCCAUUAUUUAAAAUAUCCGGGCGCAGAUUGAGCCCAUGUAGUAGACUAUUGAGGAAAGGAGGCUCAGCAAGAAGAAACAGUAAGGGAGCAAUACCCUACAACUUGGGAUCGAGGAGCACUCUUAGGGUGAUCUCCUAGGAGGGGUUUCCCAGACCGAAAAGGAAACAAAUCAGCACAGAUGCGCUGCCACAACUAGGAGGAGGCAUUGAUCCGGCAGCGUAUCAUCAGCGAAUAGAACGCGUCUCAGCCAGGAGCGCCUCAGCGCCAGAUAGAGAGUAGUCCAGAUAGACAAGUAAGAUUAGUGUAAUGGGAUUGCGUUAAGUUAUCAAGGAAAAGGGAAAGAGACCCCCUAAUUAUGUUUCAGCGACCCACGUCGGAGAUCUUCAUCGUUGGAAUCCUGAGUGAGUUAUAUAUUAUUGUUAUUCUUUCGGCUGAACUAUUACAAAUGCCCUUAUGAAGAUAAAUGAAACCUGGUAAAACAAAAAAUGUUAAACUGUUCGUUAUCCUUAUGAAGUCUGGCUUGAUGAUGUUAUUAGCAAACCAUUAUUAUUAGCUAACUACAAUUUCAUCACGAUUAGAGAUGAGAACGAUGGUCUAGAGAUCAAUAUUGACUAGACAUUAGGCCUAACUUUUAGAUAAACAAAAUAUAUUCUUAGUGCUCUUGAAAAAAAUGCUCCCAAUGAAGAUAAGCAAAGGUUUAUCUUAUUACAAAAAGUUGGAUAUUUUCAAACUAAAACAAAAUUAUAAUAGUCAAUAGAACACUUCCUUACGUUUACUACACUAAGAAAUAUUUUUUAUGCAAUUAUAAUUACGGUUUAUAUUAAAUCGUAUAUCUACUUUAUAGUUAUAUACAUAAGCAUACUAUGUUCUUAAGAAUAAUUAUUGUUAAGAAUAAUGGGAAAAAAUAUUAAAACCAUGAAUGCCUAAAAGAUAAACAAUUGAACCCUGCUGAUGCACCCGUGGUAGUAGGGUAUCCCGAAGGGGUCACCGGAGAAAUUCUUAAAAAAAAAAAGACAAAAAGACAAAGAAGCAGCGCAAGUU